rnacentral:rRNA from 1 species
GACGAACGCUGGCGGCGUGCUUAACACAUGCAAGUCGAACGGAAAGGCCCUGCUUUUGUGGGGUGCUCGAGUGGCGAACGGGUGAGUAACACGUGAGUAACCUGCCCUUGACUUUGGGAUAACUUCAGGAAACUGGGGCUAAUACCGGAUAGGAGCUCCUGCUGCAUGGUGGGGGUUGGAAAGUUUCGGCGGUUGGGGAUGGACUCGCGGCUUAUCAGCUUGUUGGUGGGGUAGUGGCUUACCAAGUCUUUGACGGGUAGCCGGCCUGAGAGGGGGACCGGCGACAUGGGGCCUGAGAUACGGCCCAGAGGCCUACGGGAGGCAGCAGUGGGGAAUAUGGCACAAUGGGCGGAAGCCUGAUGCAGCAACGCCGCGUGCGGGAUGACGGCCUUCGGGUUGUAAACCGCUUUCGCCUGUGACGAAGCGUGAGUGACGGUAAUGGGUAAAGAAGCACCGGCUAACUACGUG